UCUGGCAUUGGUGGUCUAGGCAGUCAUUGUAGUCCACACUGCAAUUAUCUCCCACAUAGCCAGGCAUACAUUCACACCUGGAGGCAGGAACAGGAAUGAGAUCCAGUCACUGAGGUGGCCUGGCUAGUGCUCAAAAGAGCAGCAAGCUGCACCAACCAGGAAAUGGCUGAAGCAAUGAAUAUAACUGUCUUUUUUCUAACUCCACUACACAUUAUUUGGUACACAUUCAUGUCCUCCACUUGGUUUUAAAUCUUUUUCUUCUCCCCAAACUCCACUCUUUCCUUCACUCACUUGGGUCCAUCAAGAGAGACUCUACAUAUGGCAUUAUGCUGGCAGGGGCUGAGCUCAGGGGAACAUACAUCCACCGACUGUUCACAAUAUGUCCCUGUGGGAAAAAUACAGUGAUAAGGCAGAAGCAUAACAAAUAGCGUCUCUCCUUGAAUUUGCCUCAUUUUGCCCCAAAGAAAGGAGGAAAGCCCAUAUUUUACCCCAAGAAUUCCUGUUUGCAUUAUAGCAUUAGCGAACAAAAAUACAUAUUCCUGAAUUGUUCACCUUUUGGACCUAUAAGAAGGAAACAUUCAGUCAUUCGAAAUAUCCCUGAUCCCUUUUUAGGUUGGCCAAUUCAAGUGGUUGACUUGCAUUUUUUUUCACUGUUUUGUUCCAGAAUAGCUAUGCAGAAUAAGUAAAUUCUGUGACAUUAAAAUAAACAGAUGGGUUUUUUUUUCUAUUAUGCAGAAACCGUUCAACUUCUUGAACUCAUACAGAAGGACAAGGAGCUACACAUCAUACUGUCAAAGGAGCAAUUGGUUGUGUUCACAGAACGUAUUUAACUUCACUACCGAACUGACUCACUUUCUGGGUUUGUACAAUACAGAUGUUUUCUUAUGGAGAGCACAGAAGAUAAGAGGACGCUACCUCUCUUGACUAUUUCUUGGUCUUCUCUGAUCCCCUUCUGUUUCAAUAUACAUAAUUCUAUGACAUUCUAUUCUUUUAAUGAAAUGUUGCUUUUUGCUAGUUACUGAAAAAAGAAUAUGAAAGAUACACUGGGUUAUACAGGGCAUUCUGGCCUUAUGUUCUACUUUUGUUUAUAACUAUGUGAAGCUUCACUGCAUAUUAGUAACAUCAUGGCCACCUGCUUCUAUUAAGAGAUGCUAUAGACCCCCUUAUCUUCUGCACCAGCUUUAAUUUGUAGCACUACAUCAAUUAAGAACUCAUUGAUAUCUCUUCCUAUUUACUCCUUGUCCAAUUAGAUAUGUAGCAAAGGAAUCCAGGUCACACAUACUCAUCUCGAGUCAGCAAGUUGGAGAAAAUGGAUCUAGAUCAGUGUUUCUCAACCUUGUCAACUUGAAGAUGUCUGGACCUCAACUACCAGAAUUGCUG